rnacentral:pre_miRNA from 1 species
UAUGUACUCCCUCCGUUCCAAAAUAGAUGACCCAACUUUGUAUUAACUUAGUACAUAGUAUAAAGUUGGGUCAUCUAUUUUGGAACGGAGGGAGUAUAUG